rnacentral:rRNA from 1 species
GGAUAACCUGCCCUUGGGUCCGGGCAUAACCCCNGGNAAACUGGGNAUAAUUCCNGNAUAACGCACAUAUGCUGGAAUGCUUUAUGCGUAAAAUGGAUUCGUCUGCCCAAGGAUGGGUCUGCGGCCUAUCAGGUAGUAGUGGGUGUAAUGUACCUACUAGCCAACAACGGGUACGGGUUGUGAGAGCAAGAGCCCGGAGAUGGAUUCUGAGACAUGAAUCCAGGCCCUACGGGGCGCAGCAGGCGCGAAAACUUUACAAUGCGGGAAACCGUGAUAAGGGGACACCGAGUGCCAGCAUCAUAUGCUGGCUGUCCGGGUGUGUAAAAUACACCUGUCAGCAAGGGCCGGGCAAGACCGGUGCCAGCCGCCGCGGUAACACCGGCGGCCCGAGUGGUGAUCGUGAUUAUUGGGUCUAAAGGGUCCGUAGCCGGUUUGGUCAGUCCUCCGGGAAAUCUGACGGCUCAACCGUUAGGCUUUCGGGGGAUACUGCCAGGCUUGGAACCGGGAGAGGUAAGAGGUACUACAGGGGUAGGAGUGAAAUCUUGUAAUCCCUGUGGGACCACCUGUGGCGAAGGCGUCUUACCAGAACGGGUUCGACGGUGAGGGACGAAAGCUGGGGGCACGAACCGGAUUAGAUACCCGGGUAGUCCCAGCCGUAAACGAUGCUCGCUAGGUGUCAGGCAUGGCGCGACCGUGUCUGGUGCCGCAGGGAAGCCGUGAAGCGAGCCACCUGGGAAGUACGGCCGCAAGGCUGAAACUUAA